UUUGUAGAAGGUGCUUCGGGUGCGGCCACGGUCCAAGUCCCCUGGAACAGGGCGUCGCAAAGGGUGAGAAUCCCGUACGCGACCGAUGGUCAAGUCCAUGUGAAGUCCUUUCGACGAGUCGAGUUGUUUGGGAAUGCAGCUCCAAAUGGGUGGUAAAUUUCAUCUAAAGCUAAAUAUCUGCCGGAGAUCGAUAGCGCACAAGUAGAGUGAUCGAAAGAUGAAAAGCACUUUGAAAAGAGAGUCAAAUAGUACGUGAAAUUGUUGAAAGGGAAGCGCUUGCAACGAGACUCGUUCGCGGUUGUUCAGUCGUCCUUCGGGACGGUGCACUCUCCCGCGUUUCGGGCCAGCAUCGGUUCUGGCGGCCGGACAAAGGCUCUGGGAACGUAGCUCUCUUCGGAGAGUGUUAAGCCCGGGGUACAAUGCGGCCAGCUGGGACCGAGGACCGCGCAUUCGCUAGGAUGCUGGCGUAAUCGUUGUCAGCGACCCGUCUUGAAACACGGA
rnacentral:rRNA from 1 species